rnacentral:other from 1 species
UACAAGCUGCGCUGUACGCAUUUUUUAUAAAGUUUUAACCUUUAAGCUGAAAUAGGGAGUUUUACAUUGAGGACGGAAUACCAAGCCUUCAUUACGUAGAGGAAGGUAUGAAAUUCUCUGCAGACACCCACUUGUAGGAGUGUGGUUUAAAACUCUAUAAUCUACGAUGCGGCAAUCGCGGCACAUAC